rnacentral:lncRNA from 1 species
AAUGAUUAUGCAGGAAAUAGGUAGGGCAACAAAUUCAGGACAAUAAUUUGCUAACACUAAGGAAGUUAUAAAAGCUAACAGGAGAUAGAAAGAAUCAGGCAUUUGGAGUUUAAAUGACUAGUGGGAAUUCCAGAGUAACUCUGCGUUACUUAUUUUGGUAAGUAAAAAGUUUAUAUUUUAUACACAUCUAGAUUAUUAAUUUAAUUCUUGAAAUAUAAGUAUUGUAGUAGAUGAAUGAUUUAAAGUUUAUAUUUGUUAGAUUAUUUACCUGGGACGUAAAAUAUUCUGUGUAUUUCACACUUGUUAAAAUUCAACUGAUUUUGUGAGACGGGAAAUAAUGUAAAAUAAGUGUUAAUCUUAAAUAAAUAUGUACAUUCCAAUCUCGAUUGAAAAAAAGACUCAAGUCAAUCGAGUUCAAACUUUUAAUGUUUUUAUUCAAGUUUUGAAUGCAAUGUUGUUUACUAGAUUCAUAUAAUAUGACAAUGUUCUAUUUUCCUAUCUGUACAAUUUUAAAUCCUUUUCACCUAAACAAUAACAAAAUGGCUUCUUUUGAAAUUCAGAAAUGCAUAAAACUACUGCUCUAUAAAGAAUGUGCGCAUUCAUUUACAUACUUUCAUAGUUACAUAGGAAAAUGUAGGUAAAUUUUCGCUGGUUUUACGGUAAAAAAGGUGUUCUCUCUUGCGAUUGAAGUGAUAAAACUUAAGGGGACCCCAGAUAUACCCGAAGCUUUAACUAAAUGGGAAGAUGAUUUAGUAAUAUCUAUUCCAUAUAACAAUUGCUGUAAAUCCUAAAAAAGUUAUUCACUGUCUGAACAUUCUAGAGACCUUUACCAAAAUCCUGUAUAGAUGGUAUAUGGUACCGACUAGACUUGCAAAAAUAUCCAAUACAAAUCCGUCAAAUUGCUCACAUCCGUCACAUCCAGACGGUUCUAUGCUCCAUAUUUGGUGGGCUGGCCCCAGAAUUAAGCCCCUUUGGAAUAUUUCAUUUAAUCUUAUCUUGUCUAUAGGAUUGGAGGUAUAUGCCUGAAGCAUAAAGCGGAAAUUGCCCUACUUCACCUUAUGGGUUCAGAAAUAAAUGAUAAUCUUGAUAUGGUGAUUAUACAUUGUCUAAUGGCAGCUAAAAUAUGAAUUGCCAAAUUUUGGAAAAGUACUGAGAUUCCAACUAGCGAUCAAGUUAAAGCUCAAUUACUAUACCAAUUUGAGAUGGAAAAAGGGUUGAUCCUCAUGAAUGAUUAUUUUAACUAUAAUAUUCUGACGCCAUAUUCCAACUUUAUUGACAAGAUCAGAGGGUUUUAAUGGGGUGAAAUGGAAGAACGUAUUAUGACUUGCCUAGAUUGGGAUGAAAGCCAGUAUAGGAUAAUACCCCAUGGGCUCUUUGACCAUAUAUUUGAUACUAGUUGUAAUUGUUAUGGGAUUCUUGACUUGUCAUAUUAUUAUAUUAUUUUGGACCAGUUUUGUUCGUAUUGUAUGUGUUAUUUUUGUGGCUACUGGUUUUUGUUGGAGUAUGAUUCUCCUACACUUCGAUAUUGUAUAUUAAAUUUUUACGCAUUGGAAGGUCUUUUACAUAUAUAUGAUGUAAUUUGCCAUACCUGUGUUUUGCCCAGGAAAGGAUGUUCUAUUGUAGUACCUUUCUCGGUUGUGUACUGUAUAUUUAUAUUGUUAUAAAACUCAAUAAAAAAGAUAUAUAUAUAAAAAAAAUAAUAAUAAUAAUUUACAUACUUACAUAGUUACAUAGCUGAAAAGAGACUUGCGUCCAUCAAGUUCAGCCUUCCUCACAUAUGUUUUUGCUGUUGAUCCAAAAGAAGGCAAAAAAACUAGUCUGAAGUGCUUCCAAAUUCAUUCUUGACCUCAAAAUAGCAGUCAAAUGCCUCCUUCGAUCAAGCAGCUAUUACCUCACUAAUUAGAAAUGAUAUCCCUGUAUCUUAUGUUUUUUCAAGUAUUUAUCCAAUUGCAGUUUAAACAUCGGUAUGGACUCUGACAAAACCACCUCUCAAGGCAGAGGCAUUUCAAUAAAUACAUAAACUGACCCAUACAGACAGGCAGACUGACAGGCAGAGACACACCCCUCCCCAGACACACACACACAGGUUCACCUUUCUCAGAAUUUCCACUUUUCCUCUAAAGGCAUGUUUAGUGGGAAUUCACUGUAUACAUAUAACCUUCUGAAUCUAAGCCUUUUCUGUUAUUCAUCCUAUUUUUUUCACUUAUAGAAUGUAGUUACAUCAUUACCAAUUACCACUAUUUAAUGCUUCGUGGUAUGCUAUUUAAAUGUCAUGUAAUAUCAUACCUUCCCUUCACUCAAGGGUUUUGUAUAAAGAACUGCACUUCAGCUCUCCCCUUUACUGAUGAUACAUUUGCCAGAGCUGCACCAAGGAAUUGCACCAUUUAAAGGACCACUCUAGGCACCCAGACCACUUCAGCUUAAUGAAGUGGUCUGGGUGCCAGGUUCUUCUAGGGUUAACCCAUUGUUUUAUAAACAUAGCAGUUUCAGAGAAACUGCUAUGUUUAUCAAUGGGUUAAGCCUUCCCCCAAAGCCUCUAGCGGCUGUCUCAUUGAAAAUCACAGUGAGAGCAUGCAAGCGUCCAUAGGAAAGCAUUAUGAAUGCUUUCCUAUGCGACCGGCUGAAUGCGCGCGCAGCUCUUGCCGCGUGUGCGCUUUCAGCCGACGGGGAGGAUCGGAGGAGGAGAGCAGGAGGAGAGCUCCCCGCCCAGCGCUGGAAAAAGGUAAGUUUUAACCCCUUUCCCCCUUCCAGAGCCGGGUAGGAGGGGAACCUGAGGGUGGGGGCACCCUCAGGGCACUAUAGUGCCAGGAAAACGAGUAUGUUUUCCUGGCACUAUAGUGGUCCUUUAAUAAAAUGAAUGUAUAUCUCAUAUUCAGUGGCACGUGCAUGCACACACACACGUGCUUAUUAUUCUUAAAUUUACUUAUGUGAUAAAAAAAUUAAACUGGCGUGUAGUAUUAAACAGGUUUGGAAGCAGGGGCCUGAUUUGGCAUUUCAUGUUUUAUAAUGGAAGAUAACCGAUAUUUUGAGCAGAAAACUCAGUAUUGUAACAAUGUAUUUAAAAAUAUGUUUGUUUGUAUGUUUCCAUGUGUCAGAUGUAUUCAAAUACUAUGGACUCUGGAAGAAUGGUCAAAGUUCCAAAUUAUUUUAUAACACAAGACAAUAAAAUAUAACUGCAUAAUGUCUUCUUUAAAAAUCAUAUCUGAAUAACAGAUUGAACAAAGUUCAGAUUGUUUAUUACUCAUCUGAGUCACAGAGGCCUCAGCAACCUCUGCUAGACAGUGAAAAGCCUAAAAUUUGCCCUCGCGCCAUUAGUAAUAACAGUUAGAAAAAUAGAGCGUGUUUCAGCUAGCACAAGCUGUUAUCACGGUUUCUUCCCAGAAUUGAGCUGUAAACAGACCUUGCAAAUUGUUUGACUCUAAAGUGAGGGAUGAUGGUCACAGCCUACAAGCACCAUAAACACUACAAUGGAUUUUAUAAUAACAACAAACUAUUUAACCAGGAAAGACACAUUAAGAUUACACUGGUUUUCAAGUAUGUCCUGGGAAUGUUACCUUAGUCCAACAUCAAGCAGUUGUUACUAUUACCCAACUUAAUAGUACUCAUGUUACCUACUUCAGCAGGAUGAAAGGCUGAGUUACACCUCCCAGGAUUUGAACCUGUAACCCAAUGGUUAAACAGAUUCUGCUGAUGAUGCAUUAGCCCACUGAACUAUUUCACCAACUUAUUUAUGGUGAAACCUAUAUAUAGAUUUUAACCCCUUAAGGACUGGACUGUUUUUGUGAUGUUGUACAUUUGCAACCAGGCAUAUUUUACACUUUUGUGGUGUUUGUGUUUGGCUGUAAUUUUCCGCUUUCUCAUUUACUGUUCCCAUACAAAUUAUAUAUUGUUUUUUUCAGGACAAAAGGGGCUUUCUUUACAUACCAUUAUUUAUAUAAUCUCAUGUAUUUUAAUUUAAAAAAAAUAAAAAAUAUGAUGAAAAAUUGAAAAAAAUACAUGUUUUUUGACUUUUACUUGAAAAAUCUUUUACUCAUCUACAAAAGCGAAUGAAAAAAACUGCUAAAUAGAUUCAAAAUUUUGUCCUGAGUUUAAAAAUACCUAGUGUUUACGUGCUUUUUUUUUUUUUUGCAUGUUAUAGGGCUAUAGGUACAAGUAGGAUAUUGCGGUUUCAAAACAUACAUUUUUCAAAUUUAUCAAUAGUGACAUUGUAACACUAUUAUCUGUCAUAAAUCUCUGAAUAACACCCCACAUGUACAUAUUUUUUUUAAAGUAGACAACCCAGGGUAUUCAAUAUGGGGUAUGUCCAGUCUUUUUUAGUAGCCACUUAGUCGAAAACACUGGCCAAAGUAAGCAUUCAUAUUUGUUUGUGUGUGAAAAAAGUAAAAAAACUAAAUUGAACGCUAAUUUUGGCCAGUGUUUGUGACCAAGUGGUUACUAAAAAAGACUGGACAUACCCCAUUUGCAAUACCUUGGGUUGUCUUCUUUUGCAAAUGGUAUGCCAUCAUGGGGGUAAUUCUCAUUCCUGGGCUACCAUACGCUCUCAAAGGCAACGUAACCAACCUGGCCAUUUUCAAUGUAAAAAUAUUUGACCCAUAUAUUUGACCUUGUAACUUUCAAAAAUGCUAUAAAACCUGUACAUGGGUGGUACUGUUUUACUCGGGAGACAUCGCUGAACACAAAUAUUAGUGUUUAAAAACUGGAAAACGUAUCACAACAAUUAUAUCAUCAGUAAAAGUGCUGUUUGUGUGUGAAAAAUGCAAAAAAAGUCACUUUCACUGACAAUAUCAUCGCUGUGAUAUGUUUUACUGUUUUGAAUCACUAAUAUUUGUGUUCAGCGAAGUCUCCCGAGUAAAACAGUACCCCCCAUGUACAGGUUUUAGGGUGUCGUAGAACGUUACAGGGUAAAAUACAGUGCUAGCAAAUUAAAUUCUCUGGAAUUUUGGCCUGGGUUGGCAGGCAGGUCCCUCAAAUUGCAAUCAAUAAAAUUACUGAAUUAUGUAAAAAAUAUUACAUAAAUACGCACGUAGAAUUUAAAUAUAUAUGCAUAUUUAUAUAUUUGAAGUCUACGUGUAUAUUUAUAUAAUUAUUUAUGUAAUUUUGUAUAUGGACAUAUGUAUAUUUCGUAUUAUUUUUAUUUAUUUUUAUAUACAUAGAUAUAUAUACAAAUUCAUUCUAAGUGUAUUUUGAUAUAAAUAUAUAUAUAUUAAUUUUAAAAUACAGUUAGAAUAAAAUUUCAUAUAGAUAUAUAAUUUUUAAAAAAAAAUUAUUAUUAUUUUUAAAAAAAAUAUUUAAUUUAAAUUACUUAUUAUUUAUAUUUUAUAAUAAUAUAUAUAUACAAUAUAUAUCGUUUUUAUAUAUAUUAUAUAUAUAUACGUGUGUAAUUUAAUUAUAAGUGUAUUUUUAUAUUAAUAUAAGUACAUAUUAAUAUAAAAAUACACUUAGUAUGGCAGUACAUAUAUAAUUUUUUAUUUUUUUUUAUUAACAUUAACUUUAUUUAUUUUUUCUGAUUUUACACAUGCAGGGAGACUGCCUGUCAGCACAGGCAGUCCCCCUGCAGGCAGACACAUGGACACCUAUUGUGACCAUGUGAUCGCUGUGUUAAGCGAUCACAUGGCCACAGGGGUCCUAAUCCAGUGUGGGGAGACUGUCUGGGCUGCAGGCAGUCUCCCCACAACCGGAGCAACGCUGAUCGCCGCCGGGGGAACGACGGCGAUCAGGUAAGUAACUCAGACCGUUAGGACGGUUCAGGACCGUCAUCGGUCGGCAACGCAAAAAUGCCGACGACGGUCCUGAACCGUCCUGGGUCGUUAAGGGGUUAAGAUCAAAAGUUAGCAGUUAAAGAGGCAGACAUAGGUUGGGUGUCCAACCUUUCAGCUUCCCUGGACCACAUUGAGAGAAGUGGAAUUGUCUUGGGCCACACAUCAAAUAUACAAUAUAGUUAAUGUAUAUACAUAAUAAGACUUUAAAAGCCUGCUUCUUUAUUUUCAGUUGUUUAGUAUAUAACUCACUUAUUUGUCAUCCUUAUGUAGGAUUGCCAUAUGUAAGGAUACCAAAUUAGGGAACUAUCUACUAAACACAUACACAUGUAUAUACAUAUGCACACAUAGCCACAGAAAUUCACACUGUGAUUGUGUGUCUAUGUCUGUGAUUAUGUAUGUAUGUAUGUAUGUAUGUGUCUGUGUGUGUACAUCUGUGAUUAUACAGGGAUAUCAUUUCUAAUUAGUGGGCUGAUAGCUGCUUGAUCCAAGGAGACAUCUGACUGCUAUUUUGGGGUCAAGAAGGAAUUUUUUCCAAGUUUGUUGCAAAAUGGGAAGCGCUUCAGGCUAGGUUUUUUGCCUUCUUUUGGAUCAACAGCAAAAACACAUGUGAGGAAGGCUGAACUUGAUAGACGCAAGUCUCUUUUCAGCUAUGUAACUAUGUGAUUGUGUGUAUAGGUCUGUGAUUGUAUGUGUGUGUGGGUCUGUGUGUGCGUAUAUAAUCACUAGGCAUGUGCAUGGGGAAAAUUCGGUUCGGUUCAGCAUUCCGAAAUUCGGCACUUCAGCAACUCCGGCAACUUCGGCACUUCACUUAGUAGAUAACUCCCUAAUUCCCACGUUAUUAGGGAGUUAUCUACCAAAAGGCUGAAAGACCUCUGAAGUAACCAAUCAGAGAGUUAUGAGUCAAAUUACACAGCAUGGGAAAAUUCCAAAGAACUUUCCCACGCUGUGUAAAAUGACACAGAGCACUCUGAUUGGUGGAUUUUAAGGACAUUAGGUCCCCCCCUUAUUAGUAUUUAGGGCCCUCACCCACCGCUCAGGGUUGGGGGCUAGGGAGGAGGACAUUAGAUCCCCCCUUUAUUAUAAUUUAGGGCCCCCACCCACCACUCAGGGGUGGGGGCCAGGGGGGAGGACAUUAGGUCCCCCUCUUAUUAUAAUUUAGGUCCCCCACCCGCCACUCAGGGGUGGGGGCCAGGAGGGAGGACGUUAGAUCCCCCCUUAUUCUGAUUUAGGGCCCCCACCCGCUGCUCAGGGGUGGGGGCCAGGGGUGAGGACAUUAGGUCCCCUCCCAUUAUUCUGAUUUAGGGCCCAAACGCGCCGCUCAGGGGUGGGGGCCAGUGGGGGGCAAUAGGUCCCCCCUUUAGUUUAAAAGCCCCCACUCGCGCAUCGCGGGUGGGAGCUCGGGAGGGGGGACCUUGAUCACUGUUUAAUAGACAUGCCUCUACUCGCGGUAUAGCGAAUAGGGGCAUAAUUUACUUUACUAAGCAUUAGUAAAUUUGUCUGAAAGACCAAUUUUGGUCUUUCAGCUUUUUAGUAGAUAGCUCCCUAGUACCGUGGGAAUUAAGGAGUUAUCUACUUGUUCAUUCCGGUCAUUACAUUGCCUGGCUAAGUAACUUACAUUUUAUAUGAAUGUAUGUUACUUGAUUGUUGUAAGUGUUGCAAAUGCGUACAGCUGAAUCCUGGCUAUGUUUGUAUACUUUUUAUUUAAAAUUGUAUACAGUGUAACAUUCUUCAUUCUUCCACUGGGUAAGUAUAUUAGUUCUUAGGCAAUACUGUGCUUCGGCGACUUCAACAUUUCAUCUAUUCGGACAUUCGGAAGUAACCAAAUGUCCGAAUUGACCAAAAUUUGUCCGAAUUCACAUUCGGACCGAAAUGAAUUGUACAUGUCUAAUAAUCACACACACAUACAAUCACAGACCUAUACACAUAAUCACAUAUAUACACACAUAAUCACAGAUAUGCACACACAAACAAUCACAGACCCACACACACACAUACAAUCACAGGCCUAUACACACAAUCACAUACACACACACCACAGAUAUACACACAAUUACAACCACACACAUACAAUCACAGACCUACACACACACAAUCACAGACCUACACACACACACACACACACACAAUCACAGACCUACACACACACACACACACACGAUCACAGACCUACACACACACACAAUCACACACACACAAUCACAGACCUACACACACAUACACAAACACAGAUAUACACACACAUACAACCACAGGCCUAUACACACAAUCACAUCACACACACAACCACAGAUACAAACCCAAUCACAGACCUCCACACACAUACAAUUACAGACCUACACACACAUAAUCACAGAUAUGCACACAAUCACACACCUAUAUGCACAAUCACAGACACACACAUACAAACCCACACAUACAUACAUAAAAAUCACAUUCACACACAUUUAGUAAUUAACAGGUCCACCCAGUCUCCCUACCUUGCUCUAGGAGGGCUGGAUUGGAUCCUCGAUCCCUAGUGGCCAGUGGUUUCUGCUGGGCUGGGAUCUCUGUGCUCCUCCUGCACAGGUCCCUCUCGCACCCCGUAAUGACAUCAUAUCCCGGCUGCCGGCUCACUAGAGGGCACGCGAGGGAGCUGUCCCUUCUUCCCUUGCCAUCUGGCAACCCUGCAGGCAACCAGGCUGCAUUACUAGCAGUUCUGGGUCGCAUGCACCCCGCGGGCUGCAGGUUGUCCAUGCCUGAUCAAGAACAUGACAUAAAUGAAAAAAGGGACAACAAAAGAAAAUAUAUGUAAUGGUGAACUUAAAAGACUUUAAGGAACACUGUAGACACCAUCAUUGCCUCAUCUCAUGGAAGUGGUUAUAGUGUCUGGAUUUCUCUGGCGCUGUUCUUCCAUUCAAUGUUAAAUAAUUUUAAUGUUUUAAUGCUAAAGAAGAGUCCAUAGCAACCCAGCCUCUCUGUGCUUGGGAUAAUGAGGAAACAUUAGACUGAGCAGCAAAGGAUGUUUGUGAUUGGCUGAAAGUGUCAGCUGACCACAUUCAGCCUAUCACAGUGACCUUGCAGGUAUGAAAUAGUAUGUCUACAAGGAAGUGAUACCCAACUUAAUCUUAUCACCAGUGAGGGCAGUGCUAUAGGAAGUCAGAUACCAUCAUUCAGUAUUUAACUGCUCAAAAUGGGCUUAUGACUGAAUGCAGGGACAAUGCCAGGGGACUCUUGGCACUAUAACCAAAUCGAUGAGAUUAAAUAAUUCUAGUGCCUACAGUGUCCCUUUAAAUGUGAACACUGGCACUUCUCAGGAUUUCUAUUAUAUUUACUUAUAUAACUAUACUUGCUUAUUUGUAUUUGUCCGAAAAAAAAAAAGAAGAAAAUGUAGAAAUACACACCUCUUUAUUUUACUACUAGGCGUUUCCAUUUUAGGUCCCUGCCAAAUCAUGUCCUUUACACCUGGCAGAGAAAGUCUACAGAGAAAAGGAGAAAUUAAAUAAUGUCUCAAUUUUACCUAAUCAGUUACAAUGCUUGCCCUGGCUCUGCAUUGUCAGAACUGCUUUAUGAUAUCAUUUGCUAAAUCUUUCAUUGAAAUUUAAAAGAAAACAGGAAAAAAAAAAACAGGUUGUCAAGUUAUAGGGGAUUUUCAAUAUUUUACUCAAUGAUGUAAAAGUGACAGUAAGUGGCUACAGACAGGUAAAGUUAUAUUUACUUUACUUACGUGUCUGCCUGGCCAUCCUUUGCCUUCUAAUGCUCAUAGCAAGUUUGCUCACUCCAUACUCUCAUUGGCUGAGCUGUGUAUGUACGCUGAUAAGGAAGUCUUUUUUUUAUGGAAUGGGAGGUGUGGCUUUCUUUCUAUUCAUUUAUGUAUUUAUUUAGUUAUUUAUCUAUUCAAUCUAAAAAUUACAAUGAGAAUGCAAAAGUACAGCAUAUCAAGGAAACCAGAUGUAUUAUAGUUGUGUCGGUGCACUGAAUAUCUCUUUUAUUUUAAUUGUAUCUAUUCAUGUUUACAGAGCAUUCUACAACGUCUGGCUGAAGUAUUCACAAGAAAAUAUUUUUCCUGGGGCAACUUUGACAAUGAACGGUUUUGGCGAAUUUCAGUUCCCUGUUUAUAUGUGGAUAAUCAUUGGUGGAGUAGGCAUUAUUUUUUUUGUAGUUUGUUUUAUAUUCCUGUGUAGGUGUUGCAAUGCAAUACAUCACACAAGUACUAACGUGACAGCAGACCCUACCACCAUUUCUACUAUCAAUUCUCAAUUUAAUACGGGAUACCAAUCAAACCAAGAUAACAGACCUUAUUCUGAAAUUCAGAAUUUUCCAAGUACUACAGUCCCGGGUUCGGAACCCUUUCGAUUUGCUACAGCUCCUAACCAGGUGUAUUUGCAUGACACAAACUUUACCAUAGCUCAAACAAUGGUCAUACAAGAUUUACCACCUAGCUAUGAAGACGUCCUUAGGCAAAAAUGAUGGUAACCUGGAAUUCAUUUAUCAUGUAUAUGAAAUAUUUAAAUACCUCUAUUUAUCUUUAACUGCCAGACAGCUGAUAGAUAUUAUUCAAUUCUUCAUCCACCCUAGUCUGGGUCAUACAGAAAAUUAAUUAUGCACUGAUUCGCACUACAAAUCGGAAGUUUGUAAGGCUUCAAACAGAAACAGUAAAACAAGUCCAGUUUUCAAAAAUAAACCUCAAUAAUGAAGAAUUCAUCAGAUAUAAAAGGCUGAUAUAUUGUCUUGAGAACCCCAGGAUUCAAUAGAAUUUCAGAACUUUUAACCACAACUGAUAUCUACAAGACAGUCUGAUCUCUCUUAAGGGACAUCACUGCUAUUCAAGGCUACUAUUCCUAAAGGGAACGCUAUAUAGUCAAAUUGUGUAUACAUGUCUCCCUAAAUUAAAGUGAUCUCCCUUUUCCUUGCCACACUCGCUUCUCCUUGAAAAAUGUUUACAGUUGUACAUGAGUACUUCCUUAACCCUUUAAAAGUGUAAUAAGGUUACAUAAAGCUACAUGUUAAUAAUAUGGUUCUAAUAUUGAAAAGACUUAAAAUUGUCAUAAAUCAGUGAAGUUGAUCACCAAACAAUUGAAAAAUAUAUUGUUUGUUACUGAACAUGUGACUGCUUUUUAACUUGUCUGUCUCAUGGUUGGAAUAAAAAUCCUGGCAUUCUUUUGCUUAGUAAAUUCAAAACGAAAUGGCAAAAUUUAGAUGAAAAUACCAAAACGUGACUAAAGCCGAUUGUUUUUCUAUACUGCUAUAGUGGCCUAAAUUUUGCAAUUUUGUUUCAUAUCACUACUAUUUUCUGUUGAAUAAAUACUUCAGGGUUAAUUCCUGAGACUUUCCAGUCACACAUAAUAUGAGUACCAAGAUUAACCACAAAGAAACUGGUGCAAUUUCUGGAAAGACAAAAGAGUCAAUAAAAAUCCAACCUGAAUUGUUAUGUACAAAAUUGCUAAAAAUUAUUUAUAUAUUUGUAUAUAAAACAAACUCUAGAUUAUCAAAAAAACUGUUUUCUCUUCUUUCAAUGUGAUUCUGCC